UGCAUAUCAAUAAGCGGAGGAAAAGAAACUAACAAGGAUUCCCCUAGUAGCGGCGAGCGAAGCGGGAAGAGCUCAAAUUUAUAAUCUGGCACCUUCGGUGUCCGAGUUGUAAUCUCUAGAAAUGUUUUCCGCGUUGGACCGCACACAAGUCUGUUGGAAUACAGCGGCAUAGUGGUGAGACCCCCGUAUAUGGUGCGGACGCCCAGCGCUUUGUGAUACAUUUUCGAAGAGUCGAGUUGUUUGGGAAUGCAGCUCAAAUUGGGUGGUAAAUUCCAUCUAAAGCUAAAUAUUGGCGAGAGACCGAUAGCGAACAAGUACCGUGAGGGAAAGAUGAAAAGCACUUUGGAAAGAGAGUUAACAGUACGUGAAAUUGUUGGAAGGGAAACGCUUGAAGUCAGACUUGCUUGCCGAGCAAUCGGUUUGCAGGCCAGCAUCAGUUUUCCGGGAUGGAUAAUGGUAGAGAGAAGGUAGCAGUUUCGGCUGUGUUAUAGCUCUCUGCUGGAUACAUCUUGGGGGACUGAGGAACGCAGUGUGCCUUUGGCGGGGGUUUCGACCUCUUCACACUUAGGAUGCUGGUGGAAUGGCUUUAAACGACCCGUCUUGAAACACGGACCA
rnacentral:rRNA from 1 species